GCAAUCGAGGUAUUGGCUGGGGCUGUAGUUGCUGGCAGGAUUCAGUUCCUCAUAAACAAAUGGACUGGGUGACUCACUUCCUCGUUUCUUAUUAUCCAGAAGCUGCUCUUAGUUUCUUGCCACAUGGGUUUCUUCAUAGGAGAGCUCACAAAAUGGUGGCUGGCUUCAUGACAGAAAGCAAGACAGGAGAGAAGAGGAGAAAAGAGAAAGAGAAAGAGAGGUGUCAGGCUCUUUUAUAGCCUAAUCUUGACUAUUCUUGACAGAUGGCAGAAGGUGAAGGGAAGGGAGCUGAUUACUUUCCUCAGACAACGAAGAGUGAGACUCAUGGGGCAGUAUUUAUCAGAGCUGGCUGGCAAGAUGGCCGAA